UGGAGUUUGAGAGGCUGAUACAAUACUCUCUUAAUUUCUCCUUUUUGUCCUGUUACCUACUCAUCCAAGUCCAGCUUUUACUUUGUAUUCUUGUGGCAUUUCAUAGGGCAGUAGCUCAAUCUAUUUUUUUUUCCCUGUCCUGCACCUCAUUUGCAGAGUAGGUCUUGCACCUGGCAGACAAAUCAAUUCUAAACCAUCACAUUUUGGUGCUGCGAUCUGUGUAUUUUAUGCUGAUUCAAAUGGUGAGAACUCCUUAACUGAUCCUAAAAGUUUGCUGUGCUAGUGCAGUUCUGCAGUGAACAGCCUAGUAGCCAGCCAUGAGUAAGUAAAUGGGAUGAAAAAGGUAGUUAAAGAUUCAUAUAAUGCAUUAACCAUCCUUGUAACUUAAUUCAUGGCAUGAUAUAUACAGCUGACAUCAAAAGCCUUUCAUAGCUGUUCUUUAAUUUCAGUUUCAGUAAUGAAUAUAGAUCCAAUUAGAAGGGAGCUGAUACGCAUUCAAAAGAAUUAACAAUACCCCUAAUUUUCAUGUUGAAGUAAUGGUUGCUAUUAUAGACUUCUUGAUUUUAAUCAGAUAUUCUCAAAAAUGACAGCAAAUUUGGAUUCGUAAUGCUAAGCUGAUUCUACAAGGGAUGGCUCUGUCUCUGCCUUCUUAAAAAUAAGUUAGUUCUUAGGAGCACAGAGCAAAGGCUGCUUCUACACAUUACCUGUUUUCAUAGAACAGCAAUGUUUACUCAGGAAACCAAGAAACAAAUCAGCAGCAGCAUGUCUAUUGUCUCCAGAUCUUGGGCCCUUGAGCUGAAGAAUUUUGUCUUCAUGGUGUUGAGAGGGAUGCUGGUGGCAUCAUCACAGUUCAAACUGGAUUGCCUAAAUCUGUCAUGCUGGAUUGAAGUGGCGAUGCAGCAUUUACUGGAGGGUUGUUUUGGGUUUGGGUUUUUUUGGGGGAAGGGUUAAAAUACAUUAAAAUACUACCAAAAAUAAAAGAAGAAAGAAAAUACCUUGCGACA
rnacentral:lncRNA from 1 species